AUGGCUCGUGGACAGCAGAAAAUUUCAGUUUCAGCAGAAAAAUGCCAAAAAGCAAGCUGGACAAAAGAAGAAACAAGGACAUGACCAAAAGGCUGCUGCCAAAGCUGCCUUAAUAUAUACCUGCAGUGUCUGUAGGACACAAAUGCCAGACCCUAAGACCUUCAAGCAGCACUUUGAGAGCAAGCAUCCUAAGACUCCACUUACUCCAGAAUUAGCUGAUGUUCAGGCAUAAGGUUGUUUACAGGUGAAUUCAUGACACCUUUGACUCUUCUACUGUCUCAGACCUUAGGUAACAUACCUGCAGCUGCUUUUCUAACAAAUUGUUGAUCAGCAAAAAUAAAGGGGCUACAGAAACACUCAUUUUUAUGCUGUUCCCUUUUGGGCUUCAUGCAAAGACAAUUCUGUGUAAAUGUACAGUUGACUCUGAUUUGGAAAUCUGAAAAUCAGUCCAUCCUUGUUAUAAAAAAUUUUUUUACAACUGUAAUUAUAUUGAUGCUCAUGUUGUAUAAAAUAACUCAUUUAAUAAAAUAGUACUUUGAU